CGGCAGGCUUAGGCAUGCAAGUCGAACGGAUGACAGAAGAGCUUGCUCUUCUGAAGUCAGUGGCGCACGAGUGAGUAACGCGUGGGAAACUGCCCUUCACUGGGGAAUAACGUUUGGAAACGAACGCUAAUACCGCAUACGCCCGCAAGGGGAAAGAUUUAUCGGUGAUGGAUGUGCCCGCGUUGGAUUAGCUAGUUGGUGGGGUAAUGGCCUACCAAGGCAAUGAUCCAUAGCUGGUCUGAGAGGACGAUCAACCACGCUGGAACUGAGACACGGUCCAGACUCCUACGGGAGGCAGCAGCUAAGAAUAUUGGGCAAUGGAGGAAACUCUGACCCAGCCAAUGCCGCGUGAAUGAAGAAGGCCUUCGGGUUGUAAAGUUCUUUUAGUCAUGAAGAUGAUGACAGUAGUGACAGAAAAGCACCGGCUAACUUCGUGCCAGCCGCAGC
rnacentral:rRNA from 1 species